rnacentral:lncRNA from 1 species
AGAAACCUGGCCGCGUUGAAUUUUAUGACUGGAACUUUUGCUGUUAUGUUUUAUAUAUGGUCUGAGACUCUACUGGACGGAAGGAGGAUCGCGAGAUUGAGUGAAGUGUUACUUGAAUCAAUAUGCCUUUUUAAUAGGAGGUAAAUUCUUUUAUAUUUGUUUGAUUAGUGAUCAAUACUAUGGCUUAUAUAAUAAUUAGUACUUUUUAAAUUGCUACAGGAAUAACGUUGAUACUGAGCCUGAGAAUUGGUACCAGAAUGACAACCGAGUUGUGAGAGAUAGUAUAAGGUUU